rnacentral:rRNA from 1 species
UACGUAGGUGACCAGCGUUGUCCGGAUUUACUGGGCGUAAAGAGCGCGCAGGCGGUCGUUCAAGUCGAGUGUGAAAGCCCCCGGCUCAACUGGGGAGGGUCAUUCGAUACUGAUCGACUGGAAGGCAGGAGAGGGAAGCGGAAUUCCAGGUGUAGCGGUGAAAUGCGUAGAUAUCUGGAGGAACACCGGUGGCGAAGGCGGCAUCCUGGACCAAUUCUGACACUGAGGAGCGAAAGCCAGGGGAGCAAACGGG